GAGGGAAGAAGGACCGAGAGGAGAAGGCGGCGGAGGAGGAAGAGGAUGGGACAUGGCCAGAGCUUCUUGUACUAUUUCUGCUUGGUCUUCAUUCAUCCGUUUCCAUUAAAAUUAUCAUGGACAGAUCAAAUAAGUUCAGAUGCCAGCAUUCUGCAUUCCCAUCUUCCAAAGUCAAUGUACUAUUGCCCGAAGUUUAUGCAAAACCAGAAGUGGCAUGCAUCUAAGCCCCAAGCCUGACUCAUGGAGAUUAUGAAACAGGGUGAGCAUGUGGCCACAACAGCCUUGGCAAGCCAAACUCCUAUUUCCAUCCUGCAAAGCUAACAAGCAAUUAUUGCCACGGUUUCCAAACAGAUGCAGAAUUAAGUGCCAUCAUUCACCAGGAUUAAUGAAGCCGCAAAGCAUCUUGCUGACAUCAAAGGAAAUGGCACAUACACACAAAUGGAGGAAGUUUUGAUAUAAUUUAAAUGAAAUGUCAGUUCUAUAAAUGUAGGCCAAAUUGAAAUUUUCCCCAAAUUUGAGAUUUGGUUAAAAUAACAACUAUACAUGGUGAAUAACAGCAACAACCAGGGGAAAGAAAGACAUAACAUCUUACAAGGACAGGAAUAAACACCAUGGACAGAAUAA